rnacentral:rRNA from 1 species
AGAAUCAACGCUGGCGGCGUGCCUAACACAUGCAAGUCGAACGAGAAAGUGGAGCAAUCCAUGAGUAAAGUGGCGACCGGGUGAGUAACACGUGACUAACCUACCUUCGAGUGGGGGAUAACCUCGGGAAACCGGGGCUAAUACCGCAUAAUAUCCACGGAUCAAAGGAGCAAUUCGCUUGAAGAGGGGGUCGCGGCUGAUUAGUUAGUUGGCGGGGUAAUGGCCCACCAAGACAAUGAUCGGUAGCCGGCCUGAGAGGGCGCACGGCCACACUGGAACUGAAACACGGUCCAGACUCCUACGGGAGGCAGCAGUGGGGAAUUUUGCGCAAUGGGGGAAACCCUGACGCAGCAACGCCGCGUGGAGGAUGAAGUCCCUUGGGACGUAAACUCCUUUCGACUGGGAAGAUAAUGACGGUACCAGUGGAAGAGCCCCGGCUAACUUCGUGCCAGCAGCCGC